GGGAUAUUGGCUCAGUUGGUAGAGCGUUGGUCUCAUAGAGUAUGAUCUGAUUAAACAUUAGAACAAUCCAAAGGUCGUGAGUUCGAGCCUCACAUGUCCCA
rnacentral:tRNA from 1 species